rnacentral:tRNA from 1 species
GCGGAUAUGGCGGAAUUGGCAGACGCGUACGGUUCAGGUCCGUAUGAAGGUUCCUUCAUGCAGGUUCGAGUCCUGUUAUCCGCACCA